rnacentral:rRNA from 1 species
GACGAACGCUGGCGGCGUGCUUAACACAUGCAAGUCGAACGGAAAGGCCCUGCUUUUGUGGGGUGCUCGAGUGGCGAACGGGUGAGUAACACGUGAGUAACCUGCCCUUGACUUUGGGAUAACUUCAGGAAACUGGGGCUAAUACCGGAUAGGAGCUCCUGCUGCAUGGUGGGGGUUGGAAAGUUUCGGCGGUUGGGGAUGGACUCGCGGCUUAUCAGCUUGUUGGUGGGGUAGUGGCUUACCAAGGCUUUGACGGGUAGCCGGCCUGAGAGGGUGAACGGCCACAUUGGGACUGAGAUACGGCCCAGACUCCUACGGGAGGCAGCAGGGGGGAAUAUUGCACAAUGGGCGGAAGCCUGAGGCAACAACGCCGCGGGCGGGAAGACGGCCUUUGGGUUGUAAACCGCUUUCGCCUGUGACGAAGCGUGAGUGACGGUAAUGGGUAAAGAAGCACCGGCUAACUACGUG